rnacentral:rRNA from 1 species
CUACGGGAUGCAGCAGUGAGGAAUUUUGCGCAAUGGGGGGAACCCUGACGCAGCAACGCCGUGUGAGUGAAGAAGGCCUUUGGGUCGUAAAGCUCUGUCAACUGGGAAGAAGUUACUAUGCUUAAAUAGAGUGUAGUAUUGACGGUACCAGUGGAGGAAGCGUCGGCUAACUCCGUGCCAGCAGCCGCGGUAACACGGGGGACGCAAGCGUUAUUUGGAAUUAUUGGGCGUAAAGGGCGCGUAGGCGGUCUUGUCGGUCAGGUGUGAAAGCCCGGGGCUCAACCCCGGACGUGCACUUGAAACAGCAAGACUUGAGUACGGGAGAGGAAAGCGGAAUUCCUGGUGUAGAGGUGAAAUUCGUAGAUAUCAGGAGGAACACCGAUGGCGAAGGCAGCUUUCUGGACCGAAACUGACGCUGAGGCGCGAAGGCGUGGGUAGCGAACGGGAUUAGAUACCCCGGUAGUC